rnacentral:rRNA from 1 species
UAGGGAAUCUUCGGCAAUGGACGAAAGUCUGACCGAGCAACGCCGCGUGAGUGAAGAAGGUUUUCGGAUCGUAAAACUCUGUUGGUAGAGAAGAACAAGGACGUUAGUAACUGAACGUCCCCUGACGGUAUCUAACCAGAAAGCCACGGCUAACUACGUGCCAGCAGCCGCGGUAAUACGUAGGUGGCAAGCGUUGUCCGGAUUUAUUGGGCGUAAAGCGAGCGCAGGCGGUUUCUUAAGUCUGAUGUGAAAGCCCCCGGCUCAACCGGGGAGGGUCAUUGGAACCUGGGAGACUUGAGUGCAGAAGAGGAGAGUGGAAUUCCAUGUGUAGCGGUGAAAUGCGUAGAUAUAUGGAGGAACACCAGUGGCGAAGGCGGCUCUCUGGUCUGUAACUGACGCUGAGGCUCGAAAGCGUGGGGAGCAAACAGG